UACGGGGGGAGCAAGCGUUGUUCGGAUUUACUGGGCGUAAAGGGCGCGUAGGCGGCCACCGCAAGUCGACUGUGAAAUCUCCGGGCUUAACCCGGAAAGGUCAGCCGAUACUGCGGGGCUAGAGUGCAGAAGGGGCAACUGGAAUUCUCGGUGUAGCGGUGAAAUGCGUAGAUAUCAGGAGGAACACCGGUGGCGAAGGCGGCUCUCUGGACGGUGACUGACGCUGAGACGCGAAAGCGUGGGGAGCAAACAGG
rnacentral:rRNA from 1 species